rnacentral:rRNA from 1 species
AUUGAACGCUGGCGGCAGGCCUAACACAUGCAAGUCGAACGAGUGGCGGACGGGUGAGUAAUGACUGGGAAACUGCCUGAUGGAGGGGGAUAACUACUGGAAACGGUAGCUAAUACCGAAUACCUUCAGAUGAGCCCAGAUGGGAUUCGCGUGUUGGUGGUGUAACGGCUCACCAAGGCGACGAGCCCUCGCGGGGUUGAGAGGAUGACCCGCCACACUGGAACUGCGACACGGUCCCGACUCCGCAGUGAGGCAGCAUGGGGGAAUAUUGCACAAUGGGUGCAAGCCUGAUGCAGCCAGGCCGCGUGUAUGAAGAAGGCCUUCGGGUUGUAAAGUACUUUCAGCGGGGAGGCGUUACCCGCAGAAGAAGCACCGGCUAACUCCGUGCCAGCAGCCUCGGUAAUUC